ACAGGUGACAGUGCCACUCAACACUAGUUCAGCUUCAGUUCUACAGUUUGCACUUGGUUCCGGCUCCUGUCGCUUUAGCUUCACAGAUCCUGAUAUUGUUGUCUCCUAUAGCCGUAACAACUCUGAGGGCUGGACCCCACUGGAGAAGAUCCGAGCACCUUCCAAUAGUACGACAGUAAUCCACCUGCUUCAUGUUAGUGCUGCCAAGGGAG